UGAUUACCCCAAGACUAUCAUGCUAUUAAAUGGAGUCUAUUGCGGUCCAUUCGGGUUUCGUCUUUGUGCCUAUCGAUAUGCGAUUGUUGUGCCACCGAAUUUCACUUGCACGACAAAUUUUCACGUCGCGACGUCGACAGCGCUGAGCAGCUGGCUUUUCAGUCGUGAAAAGUUUGUUGCGCCGCUUGGAACGAGCGCCGUGCGCUUUUAUUGUGUGGUAAAAAUGGUUUUUCGACGUUUAUUCGUUCGUUGCGCAUACGCCGCAUGCGCCGAGUGUUUUCUGAGCGUUUAACAAGUGUUUUCGUGUCUAGUGACAGUUGAUAAAUGUAUCAAAUUGUAAAGGGCAGCCCAGAUGUGCGCGCCUAAAAUGCUAACAGAAAUGACAAAUAUUUGAAUAAUAUGUAUUAUCAAAAUAAAAUUGUAAAAUAAAUAAUAUGUGUUGUAUUUAAGCAAAUCAAUGCUGAAAGUGUGUGUUAAUUAUUAUUGGUGACUAAAACUAUCCAACGUUCGUUGUGCUCCUUACAGUUAGCGAGUGUUGCUCAUAUUUGUCCAGUGUUUUGUCAUCGCAUCGGAGCAAUCGCAUUUCCAGUUCCAGUUCCAGGCCAGCCGUCAGCCCGAUCGCAGCACUGAGCUCGUCGAAGAUUAGUGGCUGUUAAAUGCGAUCAGAUGUGUUAACACUGAAAUAAGCGAUAAAAACGAUUUGUUUAUAAACGAAAAACAAACGAAACAGAGCAAAAGUGAAAAGCUGUAAAAACAUUAAGAGCUGACAGCAACAGCAACAGCAGCAACAGCAGCAACAGCAACAGCAGCAGCAAC